rnacentral:sRNA from 1 species
CCCUUCCGCCCCCGUUUUCUCAGCGCCAGAAAUCCAGUGUUGUAUAACGUGUAAAAUGGCUGGGUCGGGACAUAUGCUUACUUCCCGGGAUUAGCAAGGCAGCCAGAGGAUGACUAUAAGGAGAGUGAAGAAACUGGCCAGUUAAUGUGUCUGCCAGAAUGAGUGUACGGCCUCGCUCUGGUCAGAGAGGUGACCGGACAUCGUGUUCUGCCAGGCGGGAGGAGUAAGCCGCCUUGAAUUCCCUGUUUCUCCCCCACUUCACUGUACGUGAUAAGUGAUCAGUCUCCGCGUCACUCGACCUCCACGGAUGAGCCCGUCAAGCCAGCAAGGCCGAUUCGUACCGAAAGGCUCUGUGUAGAGGUUUCAUUUCGUUUUCCUUUCUCUAAUUGGGGUUUUACGCGUACCGCGAGUCUCCAAAAUGUAGUGUUUAUUUACUUCAGCCCUGCAGAGGCCUCCACGAUCAGCGUAACCUAUUGGGCCUCAGCUCUUUCUAACAAAACUUAGUACUUUGAUAAAACUAACUUGUUUGUAACAUACUAAUUAUGGUGUGUUGAGCUUUCCUUCUAUGCCUUUCAUAUGUACUCCGAAUGAAGACCCGAGUAUAUAACACUGAAUACGUGGUCUGGAAGCAGAUGAGUGCUUGUUAUAAUAGGACUUAAAGAAUAUUCUGUUAGCCGGGCGUUGGUGGCACACGCCUUUAAUCACAGCACUUGGGAGGCAGAGGCAGGCGGAUCUCUGUCAGUUCGAGACCAGCCUGGUCUACAGAGCUAGUUCCAGGACAGGUUCCAAAGCCACAGAGAAACCCUGUCUUG